UGACAUGUGGCUAAGAGAAUAUUCUGAUAC
rnacentral:piRNA from 1 species